ACUAAGCUCUCCCUCUCUUACUCUCCCUCCCUCUCUCUCAGGAAAAAAGAAAAAGGCAAAAUGAGUUUCAACAGGCAGGUUCUUCAGAGGAUGAUGUGAUUCUGGAACCUACAGGAAAAACUGCAAACCUGAUGUAUGUUUCUUGACAUCAGACAGAUGUUACAAAUACCUGUUAUACAAAUGAUAUGUAACAAGUGGACCUGCAACUACACUACCUGGCCAAAGCUUUAGCUGCAGCUGCUGUUGUCCAUACAACCUUCAGGAACAAGACUCUCUCUGCAUCUGGAACUGACAGCGAGCUCAACAGCUGACCACAUGGAGCAGCUGCUGCGACUGGAGCCUCGUAAGCUGCAUGUGGAGUCAGCAGAGGAACUUGCCAUCAGGUCCUGAUCGACCUCCCCCCGACCUCCCCCUCCACCCCUCCGUCCCGGGUUCUGGACCACGCUGGCGGCCAUGAUGAAUGAUUCAUUCCCCCAGCAAAAAGAGCUGACUCAUCGCUGCAUUUCAGCUCCACAUUUCCAAAGUGGGCAGAAGCUAAAUGGCUUUACCAAUAGCCUUGCCUCCUCACCAGCAGCAGCUACCUUCUUGUCCUCCUGCUGAAUAUGUAAAAGAAGGAAACAGAGCGUCAAAAUGUAUCGCUGCAUUUUGUGUGGGAGUCACAACUGGCUGUUUAUCUCUGUAGGCAGCAUUUAAUUAUUACAUGCGGCGUAUUUAUGUAAUUUUUGAACAUUUUAUCUAAUUAGCCAUCUCAUGAGGUUCUUUCUUGAUUCAAACGACCUGAUCAUUUAUUCAAAUGUCAUCCGAAAAGCUAAGGUCACUAAAUAGUCCAAAAAAAAUCUGACGGCACUGAAUGUCUGUGUCUUUGAAGAUAUUGGUUUGAGGACUUGGUGCACACAAAUAUUCACAUACUCACACUCACAGUGUGACAUUCUGAGAUGAAGGACAUUUUAGUUCUGCUCUGCUGCAGUGGGCUAAUGGUCAAUAACACAUUUAUUUUCAUCACGGUAUGCGUUUGUGUGGGUGUAUAUGUAUGUGUGCGGGGCUGAGUGUAUGGGUUGUGCGAGCGUGCGUGUUUGUGUGUCCCUCACUUCCUUCUCCGGCAGUUAUUAUGGACAUUUGAAAUUCUGUGCCAGCUUCUAGAUUGAGCGGGGGGAUUACUCAUCUGCCUCAGAUAUUGUGCUCCUUGGUGGUGCUUGGCUUUGCGGCUGACUUAAUGAGAGUGGAAGGCUUUGUUGUUGUGAAUUUCUCUAUUCAUCCAAAAGAGGAGGAAAAGGUGCUCCACUGAGGAGAAAGGGGGAAAAAAAAUAAGGUAGCUACUCUCAGCUCCUUUUCCUGGUGAAAAGGAAUGACAACUAAUACCUGAGGGCACUUCCUUAUCUCCAGCCUGUCAACACAGACAGGCCAUAUCAUUCACCGGGAGCUUUACUCAGUGGGAAAAAGCCAUCCACCAAUGGGAAUAAGCCCUUUCUUGAAAACAGUGAUGCUCUAUCUCUUACUGUGACGCUGUAACCUUUAUCAUACUGUGUUUAUGGAAGAAUGGUUCUUCACUCUGCCAAAUACUGAGACUUUCUUUCAUUUCCUGAUUUCAAAGCAAGGCUGAGAUGUUCUCGGCUUAGAGGAAACAGGAUGAGGUGAAGAGGCAGGAAGUGCAUUGUGGGACAAAGAUGAGAUUAUAGGGUGAGAAGAGAAGAUCAGGUGGAGAUUCAAAAGAUGUGCUGACCGCAGGUAGUGUUAUUAAUGUGUGUGUGUGUGUGUGUGUGUGUGUAUCUAUGAGAACGUUGCCCUCUUAGACGUCUUUCUUGAGCCCAUAUUUAAGGAUCACAGUCGAAAUGAUGAUGGAGCUUUUAAACUCGCCUUUCCUGGGGCAGACACAAAACAGAGCAAACAUGCAAGCUCCACUUCCCACGGGAAAGCUGGGAUUUAUUUAUAAAAAUACAAAAUGACAGAAAAAUGUGUGCACCUGUAUGGAAACUCUGACCCAUGUGUGCAAGAAUGGCUUUCUUCGGCCUCCUACUACUCACUUACAGCUCUACAAAAUAAGAGUAAAACAUGUAUGCUCAAGAAAAUAUUGUGUUUAUUGUUUUGUGGAUGCUGAGUGUGUAUUUUAAGAGCUACAUAUGUGUCCAUAUGUCCAUACAUGUAUUGUGGAACAAGACAAAAUCCAUAAAUAUAUCAAAUAACACAUGAAUAAUUAUGUAGCAAGCAAACCAAACCAAAAUUCUUCAAAGUAGCCAGCUUUUGCUUUGACAGCAGCUUUAGAUACUCUCUCCACCAGCUUCAUGAAGUCAUCCCCUGGAGCUUUACCAGCAGUCGUGAGGAAGAAGUUCCCACAUAUGCUGAGCACUUGUUGGCUGCUUCUCCUUCAAUCGGCAGUCCAACUCCUUCCAAGGAAUCUGGGUUUAGGUCAGGUAAUUGUGGAGGCCGGGUCAUCUGAUGCAGCUUUCCAUCACUUUCCUUCCUGGUCAAACAACCCUUACAGAUCCUGGUGGUAGGUGGUGUUUUGGGUCAAUGUGCUGUGGAAAAAACAAAUGAUGAUCCCACUAACCUCAAACCAGAUGGGAUGGAGCGUUGCUGCAGUAUGUUGUGACUUGCUGAUUAAGUGAGCCUCGAAUAGCCAACAAAUGCAAAGUCCCAGCAACACCAUCAGACCAAAGUCCAUAUUUCCACUGGUCCAGUGUCCAUUAGUUCUCCUCUUCUUCUUCUUGAUCUCCCUCAGAAUGGUUUCUUUGGAGUCUCGUCCAACAGUAUAUGAUUUAUUUGCUCCUUGAACUCUUGAAAGCAUUGAUGUUGGCUCUAAUCUGAGCUGCUGUUAAUUGGUUGUUUCUGAAGCAUGUAACUCCGAUGAAGUUAUCCUCUGCAGCAGCAGUACCUCUUGGUCUUCCAUUCCUGAGGCAGUCCUCAUUAGAGCCGGUUUCAUCACAGCACUUGACGGUUUUUGAUGUUUCAGCCUAAGAAAGUUUCAAAGCUUUUGCAUACGUCCAGGACUGACUAACCUUCAUAUCGUCAUCGACUGUUGUUUCUCUUUACUUAACUGAGCACCUCUUGCCCAAAUAUGAAUUAGCCCAGUAGUUUAAUGGGUCUUUUUGCUUUGCAUUAAGAAGGCAUAAAUUCAACCCAAAACCAAAAUGUUCCAGGUGACUACAUCAUGAAGCUGGUUUAGAUACAGCCAACAGUGUACAAAGCUGUCAUUAAGGCAGAGUUCAAAGAGGCUAGUUUGAAGAAUCUAAAUGUGAAACCUUUAGUUUUCAUGGUCACUUUUUUAUUUUCUACACAAGUCUGUUUAUGGUGUGUCUCAAUUUUAAUGUCCUCAAAGGCAACUUCCAUGAGUGACCACUGUUUAAUUUGAGGAAUUGCCUCAUUUGUUGCAGUAUUAAAAGUCAUAGAUAUCAACCUCUCAAAUGUGGU